rnacentral:tRNA from 1 species
GGCGCGAUAGCCAAGCGGUCAGGCACGGGUCUGCAAAACCUGUUAGACCGGUUCAACUCCGGUUCGCGCCUCCA